CUCUGUUACUGGAAUGCACAUCUCCUUGCCUGAGGCUUUCUCCGAAGCAUUUUCUUGUUUCAGAGUCUGCUUCUGGCUGGGGAGGACCUAAACUAUGGCAACUGUUAAAGGGCAUCAUUAUCCUUCAGUCACAGACAGACUGCAACCAGCAAAGAGAGAGAAGAAGAAAAAAAGAUCGGUCGACUGCCUCCUACACAACCCCC